AGAGUUUGAUCAUGGCUCAGGACGAACGCUGGCGGCGUGCUUAACACAUGCAAGUCGAGCGGAAAGGCCACUUCGGUGGUACUCGAGCGGUGAACGGGUGAGUAACACGUGAGUAAUCUGCCCUUCACUCUGGGAUAGCCACCGGAAACGGUGAUUAAUACCGGAUACGACCACUCCAGGCAUCUGGUGGUGGUGGAAACUUUUUUGGGUGGGGGAUGUGCUCGCGGCCUAUCAGCUUGUUGGUGGGGUAAUGGCCUACCAAGGCUUCGACGGGUAGCCGGCCUGAGAGGGUGACCGGCCACACUGGGACUGAGACACGGCCCAGACUCCUACGGGAGGCAGCAGUGGGGAAUAUUGGACAAUGGGCGGAAGCCUGAUCCAGCAACGCCGCGUGAGGGAUGACGGCCUUCGGGUUGUAAACCUCUUUCAGCACCGACGAAGCGCAAGUGACGGUAGGUGCAGAAGAAGGACCGGCCAACUACGUGCCAGCAGCCGCGGUAAUACGUAGGGUCCGAGCGUUGUCCGGAAUUAUUGGGCGUAAAGGGCUCGUAGGCGGUUUGUCGCGUCGGGAGUGAAAACACCGGGCUUAACUCGGUGCUUGCUUUCGAUACGGGCAGACUUGAGGUAUGCAGGGGAGAACGGAAGUCCUGGUGUAGCGGUGAAAUGCGCAGAUAUCAGGAGGAACACCGGUGGCGAAGGCGGUUCUCUGGGCAUUGCCUGACGCUGAGGAGCGAAAGUGUGGGGAGCGAACAGGAUUAGAUACCCUGGUAGUCCACACCGUAAACGUUGGGCGCUAGGUGUGGGAUCCAUUCCACGGGUUCCGUGCCGUAGCUAACGCAUUAAGCGCCCCGCCUGGGGAGUACGGCCGCAAGGCUAAAACUCAAAGGAAUUGACGG
rnacentral:rRNA from 1 species